UACGGAGGAUGCGAGCGUUAUCCGGAUUUAUUGGGUUUAAAGGGUGCGUAGGCGGGCUUUUAAGUCAGCGGUAAAAAUUCGGGGCUCAACCCCGUCCGGCCGUUGAAACUGGGGGCCUUGAGUGGGCGAGAAGAAGGCGGAAUGCGUGGUGUAGCGGUGAAAUGCAUAGAUAUCACGCAGAACUCCGAUUGCGAAGGCAGCAUACCGGCGGCGAUCUGACGCUGAGGCACGAAAGCGUGGGUAUCGAACAGG
rnacentral:rRNA from 1 species